rnacentral:rRNA from 1 species
AGGAUGAACGCUGGCGGCGUGCUUAACACAUGCAAGUCGAACGGUGAAAGAGAGCUUGCUCUCUGGAUCAGUGGCGAACGGGUGAGUAACACGUGAGUAACCUGCCCUUGACUCUGGGAUAAGCGUUGGAAACGACGUCUAAUACCGGAUACGACCUCCGAAGGCAUCUUCUGGAGGUGGAAAGAAUUUCGGUCAAGGAUGGACUCGCGGCCUAUCAGCUAGUUGGUGAGGUAAUGGCCCACCAAGGCUACGAUCGGUAGCUGGUCUGAGAGGAUGACCAGCAUCACUGGGACUGAGACACGGCCCAGACUCCUACGGGAGGCAGCAGUGGGGAAUAUUGGACAAUGGGCGCAAGCCUGAUCCAGCCAUGCCGCGUGGAUGAUGAAGGCCUUAGGGUUGUAAAGUCCUUUUAACGGGGAAGAUAAUGACGGUACCCGUAGAAUAAGCCCCGGCUAACUUCGUGCCAGCAGCCGCGGUAA